rnacentral:rRNA from 1 species
UACGGGGGGUGCGAGCGUUGUCCGGAAUUACUGGGCGUAAAGGGCGCGUAGGCGGACAGUUAAGUCAGAGGUGAAAGCCCAGGGCUCAACCCUGGAAUUGCCUUUGAUACUGGCUGUCUUGAGUACGGGAGAGGUGAGUGGAACUCCGAGUGUAGAGGUGAAAUUCGUAGAUAUUCGGAAGAACACCAGUGGCGAAGGCGACUCACUGGCCCGUUACUGACGCUGAGGCGCGAAAGCGUGGGGAGCAAACAGG